ensembl:lncRNA
AACAUACAGACAGCUCAAGCAGCUCAAUAUCAAAAAACAAAAAUACCCAAUAGGAAAUGGGACAAAGAUCUCAAUGGACAUUUCAUGAAGAAGGCAUACACAUGGCCAUUAAGCACUUGAAAAGGUGUUCAGCAUCACUCAUGGUUAGAGGAAGACCAUUCAAAAGUCCAGUGAGCUAUCACCUCACCCCAGUCAGAAUGGCCAUCUCAGAGAAUCCCCAGCAAUACAUGUUGCAGAGGAUGUGGAGAGAAGGGAACUCCGCUGCACUCUUGGUGGGAAUGUAAAUCGGUCUAUCCAUUAGGCAAAGAGUAUGAAGGUUCUUUUAAAAUACUAAACGUAGUGUUGUAGCCCCACGUUCCGGGAAACAAACUCACGCAGAAGGACAGUGCAGAUAGUGCAGUGCAGUUGAUUACACCCGCGGGCCCAAGGCAGAGUCUCCUGUUAGCCAAGGACGCCGACCGGUUUUUGUGAAAACAUUGUAUACCCUAAGUGUAUACGGUUCCCUGAAACUAAUCUCAACAAAGGAAAAAGAAAGAUACAAAGUUAAGCCAUGCUUCAUAUGCCUUAAGCCUAGGUAAUUAACAGUGGACAAUUAUCAACAGGCCUGCGGUCAUACCAAAACAAGCAUUAUAGAACGUAUGGUUCUCUUCAGUUACACAGAUAAUUAGGGGAAUCUUUUAGGCAUGGAGAGUCUAGAUCCAAGCCCUGAGGCUCUUCCUUCUGGGAGCCUGGUUUUCCAGCUGGUGUGUUGUUUCCACAGAUACUGGGCUCAAAGUCCAUAGUCUGGCCCAAGAUGGAGUCCUGCUUUCAAGAUAGAGCCGUUUCUGUAACCUCCUUCAAUACAAGUACCAUAGGAUCCAGCAGUCCCACACCUGGGUGUGCUGCUGCUAAGUCGCUUCAGUCGUGUCCGACUCGGUGCGACCCCAUAGACGGCAGCCCACCAGGCUCCCCUGGCCCUGGGAUUCUCCAGGCAAGACAACUGGAGUGGGUUUCCAUUUCCUCCUCCAAUGCAUGAAAGUGAAAAGUCAAAGUAAAGUCGCUCAGUCGUGUCCGACUCUUAGGGACCCCAUGGACUGCAGCCCACCAGGCUCCUCGGUCCAUGGGAUUCUCCAGGCAAGAGCACUGGAGUGGGGUGCCAUUGCUAGGUACAGAGAAAACCAAAAUUUGAAAAGACGCCUGCAGCCCUGUGGUCACAGCUGCACUAGGACCAUCAACAGGACACGGCAGCAAUCUAAGAGCAGGACACAGGUGAAUGGAUACAGAAGAGGGUACCUAGACAUAAUCCAGUAUUAUCCAGCCAUUAAAAGGAUCAAGUAACAACAUUUCCAGCCACAGGGAGGAAAGUAGAAGUGAUCAUUCUAAGUGAACUAGGGGAGACAGGGAAAGACAAGAAUCGUAUGGCAUCACUUCUAGGUGGAAUCUAAAAAUGGAGACGUGUGAACUUCUUUACCAAAGAGAAAUGGCCUCACAAACAUAUGGUUCCCUAGAAGAAACUUACGGUUCCCCAGGAGGAAAAGACGAGGGCAGGGAGAAAUGAGCUGGUUCAGAUUGACGUACACACACUACUCUUUAUAAAAUCAUCCACAAGGACCCACUGCACAGCACAUGGAACCCUCCUCAACACUCCGUAAUAACUUAUAUGGGAAGAGAACCUGAAAAAGAACAUAUAUAUGUCUAGCUAUACAUGAAUCAAGCACCUGGAAAGACAUCCCCCCUCACUCAUUUCUGUGCUCAGUUGCUCAGUUGUGUCCGGCUUUUCGCAACCCCACGGACUGCAGCCUGCUAGUCUCUGCUGUCCAUGAAAUUUUCCAGGAAAGAAUUCUGGUUGGGUUCCCCUUUCCUUCUCUAGGGCAUCUUCCCGGCUCAGGGAUCAAUUCUGAAUCUCUUGCAUCUCCUGCACUGCAGGCAGAUUCUUUGCUGCUGAGCCGCACCAGGGAAGACCCACUCAUUAUUAAAUCAAUGGUGAUCAAAUCUACACUGACGAAUCCCCUCCCACCAGUCAGAAGGGCCAUCGUCAGAAAGCUCUCCAAAGAAUAAAUGCUGCAGAGGGCGUAGGGAAAAUGGAACCCUCCCGCACUCUGAGUGGGGUGCAACAGGGUGCGGCCCCAAUGGAAAACCGCAUGGAGGGUCCUGAGGAGACAGAGGAGCCACGGGACCCAGCGACCCCACUUCCGGGCUCAGACCUGGAGAACAUCACGAUUUGAAAUGAUACGUGCACCCCUGUUUUCAGAGAAGCACUAUUUACAACAGCCAAGACAGAGUCCACCAAAAUGUCCAACGACAGCAACGUGAAGACUGAGUGUUCCGUCUAUACACUGGACUCUAUACACAUCUAUACAGUUCACCCCUGGGCUCUGGGGUGCAGUCAGGAUGGGAGAAUGUGGCCUCUGACCAGCAGCUGGUGGGAAGAAGGGAGAUCAGCCCUGAGGUUAGGUGUUCCCUGAAGUCUGUGGGCCCCAGUGCCCUGAUGGCCUUCAUCCCCAGUGGGGACGUGGGCAGGGCCUGAGCCACUUUGAUGAAGCCACAGCAGCAAUGGGCUCAGAAGUCUCCUGAGGGUGUCUCAAACUCUGACACCAUGUUUUACAGAGGAACAGGAGAAUGAAGCUGACCUCCUGACAGCGUCCUUCCAGCUCUGAGUUGUUUCCAAAAGACCACCAUCACCUGCGUGGGGUCGGCCAUGAGCCACCUGCCCCCUCCUGCCUUUCCUCUUCCUCCUGGUGACAAUUCCAGUGACGUUUCCUGGCUGGUCCCCUCGCCCAGCCCAGAUGCGUCUGUCCAUCCACUGCCGCUCACCUCACCCUGGGGACUAACGGGCCCCUCGAGGACUGCACUCCUGCUGCUCCCCAUGCCCAGGAGGCAGCCCCACCUUCUUCUCCAGGCACUAAAAGCCCCACUGAGUGGAAGAAGUUACCUACUAGAUGAGCAUGAACGUCACCCCAGAGCGUCCAGUUGUCAGGGAGUGUUUAGCAGGAAGAUUCCUACACGCUGUUUCUCACAGGUCCUCUGUUUCUUUUCAAGCAGAGCGGCAUGCUGUUCCCAGGAACCAGGGUCAUCGUGUGAGACAGGCCUGAGUCUCCUUCAGUAAACAUUCUCUUUACGACAAAACUGCUUAGUCUCAAUUCCCUUUCCUGAGAUAUGGAUGUUCUUCUGACCUUGUGGCAAUUUUUAAUCCCUUGUUCCCUUGGUUACGGUUGUUAUACACUUGGUUUUCUGAUCUUUAUCAUAGUCAUAAGAAACUUCUUGUACCACAGCUUAUAUAUACUCACAGAAAAUUCAUUAAAGCACCUCUGCUCCAUCAGAGCUUGGGUCCCCGUGUCUUUCUUUCUCUCUUUCUUUCUCUCAUUCUCUUUCUCUCUCUCUCUUAGGCUGAUUCCUUGGAGUGCAGAGACCCGUCUUGCUCACUCUGCUGCCCGGGCUUCUAAGACUCUCUCGAGAAGGCGCCAGGUGCCUUCAUGAGACAUGCAAGUCCUCUAUCAAGGACUUUAUUGGUUUUCUGCAUAAACCAGAGAGUAUCAGCUUCUUUCUCUCUUUCACUUUCUUAUCAUCGCCUCCGGACCACCAGGUCCCGGUCCAUUAAAGGACCCCAACAUCCAGUGCCUGAGGAUUUGUGAGACAGGAUGGAGUGACUGCUUUCACGGGCCCCGUGGUGGAAGAGCUCACUUUCUGAUGAAGCCAGACCUUGAUCCUCUCCAGGGGACAAAAGAAGAGGGACAGACACAGAGGACAAGCCGCAUGAAGAUGAAGGCAGAGACGGGCGGGAGGGGCCGCAAGCCCAGGAACCCCUGGAGCCCCUGAAGCUGGAAAAGGCAGGAAGGACCCUAUCCUGGAGCCUCUGGAGGGACCUCAGCCUUGCGCCACCUUGAUCUCAGGUGUCUGGUCUCCAGGACUGGGGGAGGAUGAACUCCUGUUGUUUUAAACCACCCGGCUUGUGAUCAUUUGUUGGGCCACAGAGCAGCCACACAGACCCUGCUCUGUAGGAUCCUAGAAGUGUGGGUCUCAGUAAAGGCAGAUCAGGGUGCUUUACGGAACCCCUGGAGUCAGCACUGGGACCCCAGAAUGUUGAGGGGUCGAGUCUGAAACCUGUCCCUAGGGCUGCACACGCCUCCCCAGGUUCUUACACCUGAACAGGUGGUGUAGCAUCUCAGUCCUGACUGAGGACUCUGUUAAUUUCACCAGUUACACAGGUGAAAACCCAGUUAGGAUACUUGCCACACUGAUGAUCAAUUCUGAAGAUGGUCAGGGGUGGGGACUCACAUGCAGCCAGCAGCCCUUCAC